UGUUCAGAAGACUACAACAGUGUAAAUGUUCCCACCUGGAUAAACAACAUGAAAUACAGUUUCAAACCUUUCAUUCAGUGCUGAACAUCUUCUAUUAAUGAUAUACUUUAUACGCAAAAGACUCCAAAGUGCGGAGCCACCACCAGGACUUCUUUACUACUAACCCUACUGAACAUGCUGCUAUUCUUCUUCUGCUUCUUCUUCUUCUUCUUCUUAUUAUCAUCGUUAUUAUUGUUAUCAUGACAGUAACCGGGGCAGCUGCACUGUCCUCUGGCCGCCUGUUGUGAUAUUGUUUCUGCUGUGGAGUUGUCAGACACAUUACAAUAGACCUGCUGUGCUUUUCUGUCUCCAUACAUUCCUAUAAGCCUCCAUCUGCGCUCAGCAGUGGGGAGGAGGAGCGUUAACGGCGCCGGCACCGGUCAGCAGGGCGAACAUGGCGGCACACAGCCCUGCAUAUCACUGCUGGUUUCUUUUUGUCAGCUGCUAUACAGAAGAUUGUUUUGAUAAAAUAAUGUUUGAUGCCACCUGAAAUCAUGGACGAGCAACUUUUGUUUUUAUUUCUUCCUGAGCGGAGAUGCUGCCUGUUCGGUGCGCAAAGCUGUGACUUUCUGUGGGUGAGGCUGCAAAGUUUCCAGGCAGAGCUCCAAACCAGGGCGGCUGUUUUAGAGGAGUGAAGGUAUGAGGAUACAGGAUCGAUUUCAACUCAAAAACUGAUUCAGAUUUUUAUUUUUCAGAAGAACAUUGGUUUUUAUCGAUUUUGCGUCUCCAACUCCCCACCCAGCUUGUUUAUUGUGGAUUAACGCACCAACAAGUCCUACUGUACCAUAUAGGGCGUGUAGCUUACAGUUGCCCUAAAUAAACAGUUGGACUAAAUCCAACUCUUGUGGGCUAUUAUUGGACAUACAGCAUCAGAAUGAGUUUCUGAGUGAGGCAUACCGGUGGCUGCGGCGCACAUGUUCAAAAUCAAAGUUUUACAGUUUAGUUGUUGGCCAGUAUUAAACGUAUAGUACUCCAUUAACCCACCGCGUGUCGGAUACAGCCGUCCUGCACCCUGCUGUUUUAGGACGUACGCCUCCGCCCAGAUCACAGCCCCGCUGAUGUCCUCUGCGUCCCGCUGCUCUGCUCACUCUCACCGGGCUGUGUAAGGCAGCGUCGGACAAACACCGCAGCAGCCAAGAGAAGAACUGUAGCAUUACGACUGCACAUCAGACUGGAUUUACUGUAUAUUACAGUGGAAGAUUUGUUUAUACUGUAUAAAGAUACAGCAGGCUUCAUCAGGUUUAUAUUGUGGGUUUCCAUCAUUAUCAUUAAAAUUUUAUAUAUAUAAACCGGAUGAUACCUUAGCACUUUUUUGCAAAUGCAAGAUAAAUAUUAAACAAAAAUGAAUUGAAUGUACUCUCUGGGUCUUAUUGUCAUUGAUAUGGGUAAUUUACCUUUACUGUACUGUACGUUAGCAUAACACCAUACUCACAACUGUUAUUGUAGAAAUAGUAGACAUGCUGGAAAACAGCGGUACAAAAGAAUCCAAUGGGGCCAACCAAAUAUAAGCCUUAAAUGUCUUGUAAAUGUCAUGACCUCACUGAUGAAGGAAAUAAAACUUUCUGUUUCUGA